UACGGAGGGUGCAAGCGUUAAUCGGAAUUACUGGGCGUAAAGCGUGCGCAGGCGGUUUGUUAAGUCUGUUGUGAAAUCCCCGAGCUCAACUUGGGAAUUGCAAUGGAUACUGGCAGGCUGGAGUAUGGUAGAGGAAGGUGGAAUUCCCCGGUGUAGCAGUGAAAUGCGUAGAGAUCGGGAGGAACACCAGUGGCGAAGGCGGCCUCUGGACCAAUACGUGACGCUCAUGCACCGAAAGCGUGGGGAGCAAACAGG
rnacentral:rRNA from 1 species